rnacentral:rRNA from 1 species
ACGGGUGAGUAACGCGUGGGAAUCUACCUAUCUCUACGGAAUAACCCAGGGAAACUUGGACUAAUACCGUAUACGCCCUUCGGGGGAAAGAUUUAUCGGGGAUAGAUGAGCCCGCGUUGGAUUAGCUAGUUGGUGGGGUAAAGGCCUACCAAGGCGACGAUCCAUAGCUGGUCUGAGAGGAUGAUCAGCCACAUUGGGACUGAGACACGGCCCAAACUCCUACGGGAGGCAGCAGUGGGGAAUAUUGGACAAUGGGCGAAAGCCUGAUCCAGCCAUGCCGCGUGAGUGAUGAAGGCCCUAGGGUUGUAAAGCUCUUUCAACGGUGAAGAUAAUGACGGUAACCGUAGAAGAAGCCCCGGCUAACUUCGUGCCAGCAGCCGCGGUAAUACGAAGGGGGCUAGCGUUGUUCGGAAUUACUGGGCGUAAAGCGCACGUAGGCGGAUAUUUAAGUUAGGGGUGAAAUCCCGGGGCUCAACCCCGGAACUGCCUUUAAUACUGGGUAUCUUGAGUUCGAGAGAGGUGAGUGGAAUUCCGAGUGUAGAGGUGAAAUUCGUAGA